ACGGAGAUGGAGAAGAUGCGUAUAUAAGUGUUGUUGGACGUGGUCGCUGUAUCUGUAGAGUGUAAACCCCCCAGGAGAUGGGUCCUGUCAUAGCCUGCCUCUGGGCGCUACUGCUGGUGACGUCAGCAGUAUGUGGCCCAGUGCCGAGCCCAGCGCCAGACCCAGCAGCCAAACCCGCCGACACCAGGCAGAAGAAAUCGGUUGACACACAAAUCCAACGGAGAGAUGGAGGAGGAGGUGGCUGGGACUCCGGUGGUGGAGGAGG